rfam:Schistosoma rodhaini strain Burundi genome assembly, scaffold: SROB_scaffold0000103
AUUCAGCUGACUAGUCCCAAAUAGGGCAAAACGCGUGUUCUGUAU